GGGUUGUGAGGUUAAGCGACUAAGCGUACACGGUGGAUGCCCUGGCAGUCAGAGGCGAUGAAGGGCGUGCUAAUCUGCGAUAAGCGCCGGUAAGGUGAUAUGAACCGUUAUAACCGGCGAUACCCGAAUGGGGAAACCCAGUGUGACUCGUCACACUAUCAUUAACUGAAUCCAUAGGUUAAUGAGGCGAACCGGGGGAACUGAAACAUCUAAGUACCCCGAGGAAAAGAAAUCAACCGAGAUUCCCCCAGUAGCGGCGAGCGAACGGGGAGGAGCCCAGAGCCUGAAUCAGCAUGUGUGUUAGUGGAAGCGUCUGGAAAGGCGCGCGAUACAGGGUGACAGCCCCGUACACAAAAGCGCAUGUGCUGUGAGCUCGAUGAGUAGGGCGGGACACGUGGUAUCCUGUCUGAAUAUGGGGGGACCAUCCUCCAAGGCUAAAUACUCCUGACUGACCGAUAGUGAACCAGUACCGUGAGGGAAAGGCGAAAAGAACCCCGGCGAGGGGAGUGAAAAAGAACCUGAAACCGUGUACGUACAAGCAGUGGGAGCACCCUUUGGGUGUGACUGCGUACCUUUUGUAUAAUGGGUCAGCGACUUAUAUUCUGUAGCAAGGUUAACCGAAUAGGGGAGCCGGAGGGAAACCGAGUCUUAACCGGGCGUUAAGUUGCAGGGUAUAGACCCGAAACCCGGUGAUCUAGCCAUGGGCAGGUUGAAGGUUGGGUAACACUAACUGGAGGACCGAACCGACUAAUGUUGAAAAAUUAGCGGAUGACCUGUGGCUGGGGGUGAAAGGCCAAUCAAACCGGGAGAUAGCUGGUUCUCCCCGAAAGCUAUUUAGGUAGCGCCUCGUGAAUUCAUCUCCGGGGGUAGAGCACUGUUUCGGCUAGGGGGCCAUCCCGGCUUACCAACCCGAUGCAAACUGCGAAUACCGGAGAAUGUUAUCACGGGAGACACACGGCGGGUGCUAACGUCCGUCGUGAAGAGGGAAACAACCCAGACCGCCAGCUAAGGUCCCAAAGUCAUGGUUAAGUGGGAAACGAUGUGGGAAGGCCCAGACAGCCAGGAUGUUGGCUUAGAAGCAGCCAUCAUUUAAAGAAAGCGUAAUAGCUCACUGGUCGAGUCGGCCUGCGCGGAAGAUGUAACGGGGCUAAACCAUGCACCGAAGCUGCGGCAGCGACACUGUGUGUUGUUGGGUAGGGGAGCGUUCUGUAAGCCUGUGAAGGUGUGUCGUGAGGCAUGCUGGAGGUAUCAGAAGUGCGAAUGCUGACAUAAGUAACGAUAAAGCGGGUGAAAAGCCCGCUCGCCGGAAGACCAAGGGUUCCUGUCCAACGUUAAUCGGGGCAGGGUGAGUCGACCCCUAAGGCGAGGCCGAAAGGCGUAGUCGAUGGGAAACGGGUUAAUAUUCCCGUACUUGGUGUUACUGCGAAGGGGGGACGGAGAAGGCUAUGUUGGCCGGG
rnacentral:rRNA from 2 species